GUGGCAGCGUACUCGGUGCUUGCUCUGAAGUUUAGGGGGUUUUUCGCUGUAGAAAGAAAUUUUCUUCCCAUGAAGUGAACAGCGGAGGCUAAUGUUUUUGUCAUUUUUUACGGAAUCAAACUCAAAGUAAGGUGAUUUGUGGUUUUGUUAAGUGACAGGGAGGAGAUUGAUGCACGUUGGACUUUCCAGUGGAAUUCACGUGGCUUCACAUCAUCAGACAGCGGGAAAUGAGAGUAAAUUGAAUCAGUGUUGUGAGUGACAGAAGCAUUAUGGUCCGGGCUUGGCCAUCAGGAGCCGAACUUGCAACAGGAAAGACGGAGAGAGAUA